AUCUAGGGUCAUACCACCCUGAACAUGCUUGAUCCUAUUUGAUCUUGGAAGCUAAGCAGGAUUGGGCCUAGUCAAUUAGGUAUAUUCAUUA
rnacentral:rRNA from 1 species